rnacentral:piRNA from 1 species
UCAAAGGUCUUCAAGUGUCCCACCUUC